ACUCUGCUGAUAGCUUUCAUAAUGCACCCGACUCCCACUUAGUACAACAAUGAACCCACCGAUCGCUCACUCAAGUGUUCUUUCCUUGCAUCCAAACAUCACAUAUACAUAGGCCUACUCAUCUGUCUCUUACUGAGUGAUUCAUUCUGAACGCUGCACAGCUAAAUCACAACAUCUCUACUUUCAUACUCUCCCGGCUAUCUCAGUUUUCCAAGCUUUUCAUGCUUCACCUUUCAAACCUGCCUCAGUGUACAAGAAUUGAUAGCUAGAAAUCGAACUCGAAACCCAUCCAUCUUUCUCACAUUUUCACACUCACCCCAUCCAUCCUUCUGUCACUCUGUUGUUCCCUCCUCUGUUAGUUCCUUCCAUUUUUGUUUGGGACAUUCAUUAUUCCCUGCCUCUUCAAAUCUGUGCCAUCUUUGGUUUCCUAAGCUAUGUGACAACUAAUAGUCUGCUCUGCCUCAGUUUCUUCAUUUUGAAGUGAGAAUAAUAGGAGCACUUACCUCACACUUAAUAAGAUAAUAUUAGUAAAGUGCUUAUCACAGUGCCUGACACAUAGUAGGUUCUUAAUAAAUGCUUAUUUCCUUUUCCUCCUCUUCCCUUUUUUUCCUCUUUCCUUUCCUUUCCUUCCAUUCCUUUUUGGCCCUCUUAUAUUCUAUGUACAUUUGUAGAGUUGACUCUGCCAUCGUAGAAGAAGAUAAACCGGGUUCCUCCAUAUGAUGUCAGUGUUUGUUGUGGGAAGUUCUGUAUCUGAUUGACAAACAUAUCGAAUUAUGUUCCCACUCACUAAUUAUGAAAUACAAAUGAAAACACCGCUUCAAUUUCACAGAUUGGUAAACACGAAAACAAGAGACAAAUGUUAAAUACCUGUCCAAAUGAGUGUGAAAAUCUUGUCAGUGAGGAGAGCUGUGAGGAGCUCUUGGGAUUUGGGGAAACAUUUUGCUAUCAGCAUAUAAGCCAUUAAACCUACAUUUAUACUUGCUAUGUCAACAUUACUCAUAUAAACACACGAUCUAUAGAUCUAUUUUCCAGUUGGACACUCACAUGCAUGUAUGUUCACAUAUCCUACAUAUAUGAAAGAGAAACAAAAAGAAAGUACCCAUCCUUGUGGUAGCAAAGCAGGGGAAGGAAAGCCACAUGGUCUUGAGAAUGGCAGGACAGAUUGUGGUGGGCAGAUGUCAUGGAUUCUCAUUGUUCUGUGAACCAAAACAGAGACAAAUAUUAAGUAUUCAGAAAAAAUUAAGAAGCUUUGGAUAUGGUAGUGCAAAACAAAGUAAGUGGAAAGUAGGAGAGAACUUUACACGAAGGCCACUAGAAUAUUCAAUAAAAUAACACAGGAAAGUUCCGAGUUCUACUCACUGUAGGAACUUGCUCAUGACAGGUCACGUGUGGCUUCUUCCUUCUUCAGAGAGGUAGGGCACAAAUAAGGCCUACAUUGGUAGUCAAGGGCAAUAUAGCGCUUUGUUUUUCUGAAUUGCAAUGGAAUGCCAUUGAAACAUAGGACAACGUCAAUAGGAGGAUUUCAGAGAAUCUUGGGAAAACUCUCCCUUGAUCCUACCAUCCACACUAGAUAUCCCUCCAUUUAUAUAUACUCCUCUACUCUGCUGUGUCCCCCAUCUGUAUCCUUUCAUCUGUCUCUGUGUCCCGGUGUUCAUGUUUGUCUGUGACCCUGUCUUUUCCCACUUGCUCGUGUGUCUGCGUCCAUGUGUCUACAUGCUUCCUUGGUCACCAUCAUUUUCAUCUCUCUGUCUCUUCCUCUUUGGUACAGAUCUCCUUGAUAAAGCCAUCUACAGCUGCUGCCUCCACUUUAUUCACUGUUCCAAACUCUGUCCUCUAGCUUCCAACCUCAUCCUUCCACUAUUUCCUCUAAUGAUCCCCUACUUGCUAAACCCAAUGGCCUUUUCUCAGUCCUCAUCCUUCUUGACCUGUACGUUGCAUUCAGUGCGUUUAAAGAGGCCCCUUUUCCUGGAUAGUCUAAAUGUUUCUGGUUUUUGUAAACUUUGUUCUUUCUUGGUUCUUCUCCUGUCUGUCUCAUCAUUCAUUCUCCAUCUCCUUUGCUGGAUCAUCAUCUAAAUCAUACUUACUAAAUCUGUGCCCCCAAAGCCUUUGCCUUGAGCCAUCUUCUCUUUUCUCUUUCUAAUUGUCAUUUGAUGACUGUGUCAGUUCCCAUGAGUUUAUUGAUCAUAUCUAUAUAAAUGAUUUGGAGAUACCUAUAUUCAGCCCUCGUUUCUCUCCUGAGAUCUAGGAUUACAAAUUACCUAUUUUACAACUGGAUGCCUUCUAGGUAUAUCAGAUUCAACACGUGCAAAACAGAACACAUUUUCUUGCUCUAUCCAUAUGCUCUGUGUCCCUAAUCUGUGUGUCCAGCUUUUCUGGCCACAUGUAUCUCCUGGUUUGUCUAGUUACUAAUUUUUCUAUAUCUUUCACAGGUCUGUGUGUCUCCCAUCUUCAUGUAUCAUCUGUGUAUGUCCCUCUGGCUAGCCACGAGGCUCUCUGAAUAUCCACAGAUUGUCCCAUCUCUUUCCCAAAAUUUGUGCAUCUACCCAGCUUAUUCUUUUAUUUGUCCCUCUCUAUACAUUUACUUUUGUCUGUAAGUGCCCAUUUGUCUGUUCUUCCCUUUGCUUUUGUAUCCUCUUUGUCCAUGUGAAUUCAUAUAUUACCAUAUUCACGCUGUGUAUCUUCAGCUAUAUCCCCCACCUCCUGCCUCUGUUCCCCCAGAUAUUGAAGAGGCCCUCAAGCGAUCCACAUGUUCCCCAGCUGUUUAUAUCCCACCUUAUAUCUGGGCAUAUUUCCCCCAUUUGUCCUUCCAUUUGAAUUGUCUUAGGAAGAUUCUAAAAAUACUUGGCAAGAUAAGGUACCAGAUGCCGAGGUCCUCUCUCGACUUGCUUUGAGCACCAAAGACAAAAGCAAAUCCCCAUCUGUAUUCCCCUUCGGGUGUGCAUCCCUCCAUUUAUAUAUACUCCUCUACUCUACUGUGUCCCCCCCUAUCUUUAUCCUUUCAUCUGUCUCUGUGUCCCAGUGUUCAUUUUUAUCUGUAACCGUGUCUUUUCCCACAUGCUCGUGUGUCUGCAUCCAUGUGUCUACAUGCUUCCUUGGUCACCAUUCCCAUAUGUUCCCUUGUGCUGCUAUGUCCUGUCCCCCUCGCUCAUUUUCCCCAUUUGUGUUUCUCCCAGUUGUCGCUGCCCCAUGUCUAAGCAGCCCUAUUUGAUUCACCAUAUAGAUGUUUCUUUUAGAGCUCUCAUUUAUUUGACAUGUCUUCCAUCUGUCUCUUGGUAUCCCACUACCAGUGUGUGUUUCUCAUCUGUCAUUUCCCUCCAUUUCUCUUUUGUUCUAUCUCUAUUGCCCCUUUGUGUGUCUAUCUGACUCUCCUUCUGCCCAUAGGUCCUCAUCAGUGUGUCUCUGUAUUUACCCUCCCUGCUUCUACGUACGCUCUGUCAGCGUGUAUACCCUCUAUGUUUCUGUGUCUACCCAUGCCUCCUCACCUGGGAUAUUCCUUGUCUUUGGGUCUUCUUUGUUCCCGUCCAUUGUAUACGUCCUCAUCUGAGUCCCACUUCCUUCGUGUAUCCCUGUCUUGUUAUCCGAUGUCUGUUUGUCCUGCUUCUGUUUUUUAAAUAAUAGCUCUAUUUAUCAAAAUAUAUUCAGAGAGUUUUCAACAUGCACCAAAAAACCUUGGGUUCCAAAUUUGUCCCCCUCCCUUCCUCUCCACCUCUCCCUUCCCCUAGAUAGCAAGCAAUCUAAUAUAGAUAAAUCAUGUGUAAUGCUUGUAAACGUCUUUUCAUAAUUAUCAUGCUGCACAAGAAAAAUCACAUCAAAUGGGGAAAAAUGAGAAAGAAAAAAAAACCAAGCAAGCAAAUAACAGUAGCAAAAAAGGAGAAAAUACUUUGAUGUGCUCCCCAUUCAGUCGCAUAGUUCUCUCUGGAUGCAGCCGGCUCUCUCCAUCAUAUGUCCAUAGGAAUUGGCCUGAAUCGUCUCAUUGUUGAGGAGUCAUGUCAUGCUUCUGUUUGUACAUGUCUCUAUGCCCCAUUCUACAUAUCACAUAUGUCUGUUCCCAAUCUGUUUGUUGCCAAAUCCUCCCAUUUAAGCACCUGGUCUACGACUGUCAACCCUUCUUCCUGUCUGUAUGUCCUCCUCUGUAAGGACAUUUCUGUGUUCCCUCCACUCCCCUCUGGUCCAUAGGGAUCACUUUUGUCAGUCUGGGUCUCUGUCUACCAUUUGUCCACAUCACCCUCCUUGGGAGUUCCCUCUGCCCACCUGUGCAUGUCCUGUCUGUUUUGUCCCAUUCUGCCCUCCUCUCUGUCCCUAUGUUUGUGUGCCCCAACUAUACCUUCCCUUAUGUGGAUCUCAUCUGGGUCUCCGUGGCAGUCUGUGUUUCAUCUGUCUCUCCAUUGGUGUGCCCACUCCCUUCUCUAUCUGUCAUGUCUGUGUGGCCCUUGUCUGGUCAUGUGCCCCUUCUUGUGUACGUGAAUGGGCAUGACCCCAUCUGGGUGCAUCUCCUUGUCAGGGCUCUCUGCCUGCAUCUGCUCCUGUUCCUGUAUGUCUCUCCCCCAUUCAUUUCUAUGACCUCCUGUCUUUCUGGGCAUCCUGGCAUCCCCAUGUCUGACUGUGCUGCACCCUACAUUUCAUGCCAAUGUAUGUCUGUUUCUUGGGGUCCUUCUGCCAAGAAACUGUGCUUUUCUUAAAGAAGGCACUUACUAGUAUAUCAGCCUGGGUGACUUCCACACUCCACCCGCGGCCCAUGUGGAGACUGCAGGUCACAAAAGAUCCCAGAUCAUUUUUAUCCCUCUCCCUCCAACUUUUCUCGUGGCUCUCUUCAGUUGGUUGUCUAUCUAUUACUUUGAGUCCUAUCUUUCUUCACAGCCACCCCUGUCCUAACAUUUUCCUGCCUCCCAUCAUCUGUCUCUAAUGUCUGCUUAUCUCUGUGUCCCAUGUACCUCCCUUUCUAUGGACCUAUCCGAGUGGCUCCCUGUCUCCAGGAGCCCUUCUCCCAGCAUGAACAAAGCGGUUUGCAAACCUUAAAUAUUUAUAUAAGUUUGAGAUAUUAUUAUUAUUAUUAUUAUUAUUAUUAUUAUUAUUAUUAUUAUUACUAUGAUUAGCACUCCUUGGAUAUUUCACUCAACACUUCUAAGUUGUUAUCAGCCCAUUCAUGACCGCCACUUUGCCCUGGUCAUCCAAGCACUUGUGAAAGCACCUAAUGAUACCGUCACCUAGUAGCCAUCACUCCCUUUUUCCCCAGAGCAACACAACAUACUCAGGCAAAUAAAAAUACAUGGCGAAAAUCUAGGUAAAUUAUAAAUUACAUCCCCAGAUGAUACAAUCCAGUAACCCUUUUCUCUCUUACCUGAUUCACUUUAUGGGCUCCGGUAUUUUGAACGUUGAAGAUUUGUGACCCCAGAGACCUUAGCAUACCAGGCCCUUCUGUCUGCUAUCUUACAAAGUCUGUCCAAGUUCACGUUUGCUCCUUCCAUGACACUCUCUCAUCUUUGUCACCUCCUGCCAUCCUCUUCUCCUUUUGCCUUCAAUCUUUUCAAACAUCAGAGAAGGACACUAUAGAAAGAAACAGAGAUGUUUCAGAGACAUGACAGGGUAGAGGUGAGAUUGAUUGCUUUCUCUUGUUUUUUGGGAACUCUUUGGUACCAUGAGUGUCAGAGCUAGGAUCAGAGGCCCUGACUUUGAAGGCAUCUUCCAGAGACAGAUGCUUUAGAGUCUGAACCGCCUGCUUAGUGACCAGCUGAUAUUCUCAAGUUCCAUCGAAACUCUAGCCUUGUAUUUCAGACCUCCAGGAGCAGAUUCUAAAUGGAACACAAUGAGAGAGCACCUCCACAUUUAAGAGUUUGGAGGAACUUUGUUCCCUUGGACUACAGGUGUCCUUAAAAUCUGUCUCCACUUUAAAAACCAGUGAAAAGGAAAGCCCUAGCUGAGGGGAGGAAUCCCAUUGAAUUCUAGUAUUACACAGUCAACCAUAACCAAGAGCUACUUCAGCUGCCAGGAGUAACCUUUCACUCCUAGUCUCCUAACAGCUGUUCUCAUUUGAGCUCCCCUCUGAGCUUAGUAGUUUCUAGUUCUGUGUAUCAAAGCUGUUACUAACAAGUAAUGGCAGCAGUUAGGGAGAAAGGCUAACUAUACUAGGAGGCCCGUAAAACUUUCCACCUUUAGGAGGGAGGAAUCGUGUUACUCUCACAUGUGAAAAUGACAACUGGUGUCCGUAUGAAUUGAAUCAAAAGCAGUUCAAAGUGAACUCCAAAGGCGAAGUUGAGAUCCAUAGAAAAAAACUUUGGUACAGCAGGUUCAAACCAUCAAUUACUUGGACAGCAGCUUCUUUCCAUGUUUACCAGAUGAAUAUCACUAAUAAUAAGAAAAUGACAAAUGAAAACAGUUGUAAAGAUUGAGCUCACAUCCAUCAGAUAAACAAAGAGAACAAAAUGUAGAAACAAUAAAUUACUAGACAGGCACAAUAAUACACUAAUCUUACUGAGAAGACAUCUAAUUUAUCCCUAUUACAAACAAUACUUCUUCUUGGUUUUAAAAAGAGACUAUAAUUUUUUAAAAACCUCUAUUUAUUCCUGUGCUUUCUGGGUUUUUUUUUUCUAGAAAUAGGUGUAUUUUCUCAAGUUUUUUUUGUAUCUAUUGAGAUAAUCACAUGAUUUUUGUUACUUUUGUUAUUAAUAUGAUCAUUUAUGCUAAAAGUUUUCCCAAUAUUGAAUAAGCCUUACAUUCUUGAUAUAAAUCCAACCUGAUAAUAUAUGAAGUUUCUGAAAUAUUGCUAUAAUCUCCUCACUAGUAUUUUAUUUAAAAUUUUUGAAUCAAUACUCAAUAGGAAGGUAUGAGCAACAUAUUUCUGUAGUAAAAUGAAAUUUGGUAGGAUAACUUCUUUGCCUAUUUUUCCAAAGAGUUUAAAUAGUAUUAGAAUUAAUUCUUUUUUAAAAUGAUUGUUAGAAUACACAUAUGAAUCAAAUUGUUCCUAAGGACUUUUUAUGUGCCCAUUGAUGGCAUGUUAAAAUUUCUUUGUCUAACAUAGAGUUAUUUAAGAAUUCCAUUUCCCAUUCUGUUAAUUUGGGCAAUUUUAUAUUUAUUGGGUCAAUUUUUAACUUCUAAUUUUAUCAAUCCUUUGUUUUUUUAAGAUUUCUAUAAUAACAUUUAAUAAAAAGUUUUUUUUUAAUAAUCUUUUUCUGUUUUCUUUUUAACUAUAAGCCCAAUUCAUUGUUCUGCUUUUUUCUUUUUUAUUAUUAUAAGCAUUUAGAGAUAUAAUUAUUUUCCUAAGGAAAAUAAAUAUUUUCCUAUUUUUCCAACUUUGGCUACAUUCCAGAAAUUUUGGUACAUUGUCUCAUUGUUAUUACUAUUCUUUAAUGAAUUUAUUGGUUCUAUGGUCCACCCAAUUUUUAGGACUUUUGUGUUUCCAAUUGAUGUUUAACCUAGGCUUCCAAAGGUCUUUAUUGAACAAAAUGUUUACUAUUUUAUGGUACCAAAAGAGUACAUAUGCCAUUUCUGAUUUUCUGUAGUUUAGUGAGGUUUUUAUGCCUUCUAUGGUAAGUUUCUUGAGGAUAACUAUAUGUAGCUUCUAUAUUCCCAAUCAGUUUUCUCCAGAGGUCUAUGAAAUCUAACUUUUCUAAUAUUCUAUUCAUCUCCUUAACUUGUUUCUUAUUUAUUUUAUUGCUAGAUGUAAUUAGUUCUAAGUGGUAAACUGAGGUUCCCCACUAGUAAACUUAUAAUAUUUCCUCCUCUAACUCAAUAUCCCUUGAGGAUCUAGAAUCUAUUCAAUUUGAUACUUACGUUUUAGUAUUGGUAUUACAUCAUUAUCUAUGAUACCUGUUAAUGAAAUGGAGUUUCCCUGGCUAUCUCAUUUAGUUGGGGAUAUUUUUGUUUUUGCUUCAUUUGAGAUCCUAAUUCUAAUGCCUACCCUACUAAGCUCAUCAGAAGCAAAAUAGAUUCUGCUUUAGCACCUUAUUUUAACUCUUAUGUGUUUUUCUGUUCCAUGUAUGUUUCCUGUAAACAACAUAUUUGUUGGAUUCUCUUAUCUUAAUUUAUUAUGUUUUCUGCUUCCAUUUUAUGGCUGAGUUCAUCCCAUUCCCAGUUAUGAUCAAUAACUAUUACCCUACAUCCUAUUUUUUAUCAUACUCUUUUUAAAAUUCUAUCCCUCUUCUAAACUCUAUUCUGCUUCUUAGAACUACCUCCUUUAAUGCCAUCAAAGCAAAGCUGCAGGAGGAACUUUUGCUUCCUUAUAGUGGCAAGUGCAUGUCUUCUCCCUGGAGCUACAACAGGGACUUCUGGUUACUUGUGAUGGCAAGUGCUCCUCUUCACCCUGUCGCUAUAGCAGGGAAUUCUGGUUAGGUGUGAUGGGACUGCUCUUAUUUACCCCUGGAACAGCAGCAGGGACUUCUCGUAACUUUUGAUGGCAACUGCACCUCUUCACCCUCGAGUGGCAUCAGAAAAUUCUGGUUACUUGUGAUGGCAAGUUUUCCUCUUCACCCUGGAGCAAUAGCCGGGACGUCGAGUAAAGUGUGAUGGCAAGUGUUCCUCUUCACCCUGUCACUAUAGCAGGGAAUUCUGGUUACGUGUGAUGGGACUGCUCUUAUUUACCCCUGGAACAGCAGCAGGGACUUCUCGUAAUUUUUGAUGGCACCUCUUCACCCUCGAGUGGCAUCAGGAAAUUCUGGUUACUUGUGAUGGCAAGUUUUCCUCUUCACCCUGGAGCAAUGGCCGGGACUUCGAGUAAAGUGUGAUGGCAAGUGUUCCUCUUCACCCUGGACCUGCAGCAGGAACUUCAAGUAAUUUGUGAUGGCAACUGUUGUUCUUCACCCUGGAGCUGCAGGAGGGACUUCUGCUUACUUGUGAUGGCAAGUGUUCGUCUUCACCCUGGAGCUGCUACAGGGACUUCUGGUUACUUGUGGUGAAAUGUGUACCUCUUCAGCCAGGAGCUGCAGCAGGGACUUCUGGUAACUUGGGAUCACAAGUGUUCCUCUUCACCCUGGAGCUACAGCAGGGACUUCUGGUUACUUGUGAUGACAAGUGUUCGUCUUCACCCUGGAGCUGCAGCAGGAACUGCUGGUAUCUUGUGAUGGCAAGUAUUCCUCUUCACACUGGAGCGUCAGCAGGGACUUCUGGCACCUUGUAAUGGCAACUAUUGUUCUUCACCCUGGAGCAGCAGCAGGGACUUCUGGUAACUUGUGAUGGCAAGUGUUCCUCUUCACCUUGGAGCAGCAGCAGGGACUUCUGGCAACUUGUAAUGGCAACUAUUGUUCUUCACCCUGGAGCAGCAACAGGGACUUCUGGUAACUUCUGAUGGCAAGUGUUCCUCUUCACCUAGGAGCAGCAGCAGGGACUUCUGGGUCCUUGUGGUCACAAGUGUUCCUCUUCACCCUGGAGCAGCAGCAGGGACUUCUGGCAAAUUGUGAGGGCAACUGUUGUUCUUCACCCUGGAGUAGCAGCAGGGACUUCUGGUAACUUGUGAUGGCAACUGUUCCUCUUCACCCUGGAGCUGCAGCAGGAACUUCUGGUAUCUUGUGAUGGCAAGUAUUCCUCUUCACACUGGAGCGUCAGCAGGGACUUCUGGCACCUUGUAAUGGCAACUAUUGUUCUUCACCCUGGAGCAGCAGCAGGGACUUCUGGUAACUUGUGAUGGCAAGUGUUCCUCUUCACCUUGGAGCAGCAGCAGGGACUUCUGGCAACUUGUAAUGGCAACUAUUGUUCUUCACCCUGGAGCAGCAGCAGGGACUUCUGGUAACUUGUGAUGGCAAGUGUUGCUCUUCACCUAGGAGCAGCAGCAGGGACUUCUGGGUCCUUGUGGUCACAAGUGUUCCUCUUCACCCUGGAGCGGCAGCAGGGACUUCUGGCAAAUUGUGAGGGCAACUGUUGUUCUUCACCCUGGAGUAGCAGCAGGGACUUCUGGUAACUUGUGAUGGCAACUGUUCCUCUUCACCCUGGAGAUGCAGCAGGGACUCCUGGUAACUUGUGAUGGCAAGUGUUCCUCUUCACCCUGGAGCAGCAGCAGGGACUUCUGGUAACUUGUGAUGGCAAGUAUUCCUCUUCACCCUGGAGCGUCAGCAGGGACUUCUGGUUACUUGUCAUCACAAGUGUUCCUCUUCACCCUGGAGCAGCAGCAGGGACUUCUGGCAACUUGUGAUGGCAACUGUUGUUCUUCACCCUAGAGCAGCAGGAGGGACUUGUGGUUACUUUUGGAGGCAAGUGCUUUUCUUCACACUGGACCUGCAGCUGUGAUGUCCACUUAUUGGUGAUAGGAAGUGUUCUUCUUCAAACGGGAGCUGCAGCUUGGACCUCUGCUUGGUUGUGAUGGCAAAGGCCUCUCUCCACCCCUAAGCUGCAGUUGGGACGUCUGCGUAGUUGUGAUGGCAAAGGCCUCAUUCUAUCCUGGAGCGGUAUAUGACACCUCUGCUAGGUUAUAAUAGCAAAGACCUCUGUCCAACCCAGAGCUGCAACUGAGACCUCUGAUUUGUUAUGAUAUCAAAGGCCUCUCUCCACCCCUAAGCUGCAGCUGUGUCUUCUGCAUUUUUCUUAGGGAAAUUGGUCUUCUUCACCCACUAGCUUCAGGAAAGAUUUCUGGUAACACCGAAAUUGGUCUUCUUCACCCAUUAUGUUCAGGAAAGAUUUCUGGUAACAUUUCAUGGCACGUGGUCCUCUUCACCUUGGUGCAGAAGCAGGGACUUUAGGCAACUUGUAAUGUAAACUGUUGUUCUUCACCCUGGAGCUACAGCAGGGACUUCUGGUAACUAUUGAUGGCAAGUGUUGCUCUUCACCCUGGAACUGCAGCAGGGACUUCUGGUAACUUGUGAUGGCAAGUGUUCCUCUUCACCCUGGAGCGUCAGCAGGGACUUCUGGUUACUUGUCAUCACAAGUGUUCCUCUUCACCCUGGAGCAGCAGCAGUGACUUCUGGCAACUUGUAAUGGCAACUGUUGUUCUUCACCCUAGAGCAGCAGGAGGGACUUCUGGUUACUUUUGGAGGCAAGUGCUUUUCUUCGCACUGGACCCGCAGCUGUGAUGUCCAGUUAUUGUGAUAGUAAGUGUUCUUCUUCAAACGGGAGCUGCAGCUUGGACCUCUGCUUGGUUGUGAUGGCAAAGGCCUCUCUCGACCCCUAAGCUGCAGUUGGGACGUCUGCGUAGUUGUGAUGGCAAAGGCCUCAUUCUUUCCUGGAGCGGUAAAUGAGACCUAUGCUAGGUUGUGAUAGCAAAGACCUCUGUCCAACCCAGAGCUGCAACUGAGACCUCUGAUUUGUUGUGAUAUCAAAGGCCUCUCUCCACCACUAAUCUGCAGCUAUGUCUUCUGCAUUUUUCUUAGGGAAAUUGGUCUUCUUCACCCAGUAUCUUCAGGAAAGAUUUCUGGCAACAUUUCAUGGCACUUGGACCUCUUCACCUUGGAGCAACAGCAGGGACUUUAGUCAACUUGUAAUGGAAACUGUUAUUCUUCACCCUAGAGGAGCAGCAGGGACUUCUGGCAACUUGUAAUGGCAACUGUUGUUCUUCACCCUGGAGCAGCAGCAGGGACUUCUGGGUACUUGUGGUCACAAGUGUUCCUCUUCACGCUGGAGCUACAGCAGGGACUUCUGGGUACUUGUGAUCACAAGUGUUCCUCUUUACGCUGGAGCUACAGCAGGGACUUCUGGUAACUUGUAAUGGCAACUGUUGCUCUUCACCCUGGAGCGUCAGCAGGAACUUCUGUUUACUUGUCGCCACAAGUGUUCUUCACCCUGGAGCAGCCGCAGGGACUUCUGGCAAAUUGUGAUGGGAACUGGUGUUCUUCACCCUAGAGCAGGAGGAGGGACUUCUGGUUACUUGUGGAGGCAAGUUCUUUUCUUCACACUGGACCUGCAGAUGUAAUGUUCAGUUAUUGGUGAUAGGAAGUGUUCAUCUUCAAGCGGGAGGUGCAGCUUGUACUUCUGCUUGGUUGUGAUGGCAAAGGCCUCUUUCCACCCCUAAGGUGCAGUUGGGACGUCUGCGUAGUUGUGAUGGCAAAGGCCUCACUCUAUCUUGUAGCGGUACAUGAGACCUCUGCUAGGGUGUGAUAGCAAAGACCUCUGUCCAACCCAGAGCUACAACUGAGACCUCUGAUUUGUUGCGAUAUCAAAGGCCUCUCUCCUCCCCUAAGUUGCAGCUGUGUCUUCUGCAUUUUUCUUAGCGAAAUUGGUCUUCUUCACCCACAAGCUUCAGGAAAGAUUUCUGGUAACAUUUCAUAGCACUUGGUCCUCUUCACCUUGGAGCAGCAGCAGGGACUUUAGGCAACUUGUAAUGGAAACUGUUGUUCUUCACCCUGGAGCAGCAGCAGGGACUUCUGGUAACUUUUGAUCACAAGUGUUCCUCUUCACCCUGGAGCUACAGCAGGGACUUCUGGUAACUUAGGAUCACAAGUGUUCCUCUUCACCCUAGAGCUACAGCAGGGACUUCUGGUUACUUGUGAUGACAAGUGUUCGUCUUCACCCUGGAGCUGCAGCAGGAAAUUCUGGUUAUUUGUGGUGACAAGUUUUUUUGUCACACUGGACAUGCAGCUGGGACGUCUAAUUAUUGCUGAUAGGAAGUGUUCUUCUUCAAACAGGAGCUGCAGCUUGGACUUCUGCUUAGUUGUGAUGGCAAAGGCCUCUCUCCAUCUGGGAGCUGCAGCUGAGACAGCUUCUUGGUUGUGAUGGCAAAGGUGUCUCUACAUCCUAGAACUACAGCUGAGACCUCUGCUUUCUUCUGAUGGCAAAGGCCUCUCUCCACCCCGGAGCUGUAGCUGAGACCUCUGCUUUGUUUUGAUAGAAAAGGCCUGUCUCCACCCCUAAUCUGAAGCUGCGUCCUCUGCAUUUUUCUUGGGGUAAUUGGUCAUCUUCACCCAGUAGCUACAGGAAAGAUUUCUGGUAACUUUUGAUGGCAAAUGUUCGUAUUCACCAUGGAGCUGCAGCAGGGACUUCUGGCAAAUUGUGAUGGCAAGUGUUGCUCUUCACCCUGGAGCUGCAACAGGGACUUCUGGUAACUUGUAAUGGCAAGUGUUGCUCUUCACCCUGGAGCAGCAACAGGGACUUCUGGCACCUUGUGAUGGCAACUGUUGUACUUCACCCUAGAGCAGCAGGAGGGACUUCUGGUUACUUUUGGAGGAAAGUCCUUUUCUUCACACUGGAGCUGCAGCUGUGAAGUCCACUUAUUGGUGAUAGGAAGUGUUCUUCUUCAAGCGGGAGCUGCAGCUUGGACCUCUGCUUGGUUGUAAUAGCAAAGGCCGCUCUCCACCACUAAGCUGCAGUUGUGACGCCUGCGUAGUUGUGGUUGGCAAAGGCCUCGUUCUAUCCUGGAGCGGUAAAUGAGACCUAUGCUAGGUUGUGAUAGCAAAGACCUCUGUCCAACCCAGAGCUGCAACUGAGACGUCUGAUUUGUUGUGAUAUCAAAGGCCUCUCUCCACCCCUAAGCUGCAGCUGUGUCUUCUGCAUUUUUCUUAGGGAAAUUGGUCUUCUUCACCCAGUAGCUUCAGGAAAGAUUUCUGGUAACAUUUCAUGGCACGUGGUCUCUUCACCUUGGAACAGCAGUAGGGACUUUAGUCAACUUGUAAUGGAAACUGUUAUUCUACACCCUAGAGCAGCAUCAGGGACUUCUGGUAACUUGUGAUGGCAAGUGUUGCUCUUCACGCUGGAGCUGCAGCAGGGACUUCUGGUAACUUGUGAUGGCAAGUGUUGCUCUUCACCCUGGAGCUGCAGCAGGGACUUCUGGUAACUUGUGAUGGCAAGUGUUGCUCUUCACCCUGGAGCUGCAGCAGGGACUUCUGGUAACUUGUGAUGGCAAGUGUUGCUCUUCACCCUGGAGCUGCAGCAGGGACUUCUGGUAACUUGUGAUGGCAAGUGUUCCUCUUCACCUUGGAGCAGCAGCAGGGACUUCAGGCAACUUGUAAUGGCAACUGUUGUUCUUCACCCUGGAGCAGCACCAGGGACUUCAGGUUACUUAUGGUCACAGAUGUUCCUCUUCAACCUGGAACUACAGCAGGGACUUCUGGUAACUUGUGAUGGCAAGUGUUCCUCUUCACCCUGGAGCUGCAGCAGGGACUUCAGGCAACUUGUAAUGGCAACUGUUGUUCUUCACCCUAGAGCAGCAGCAGGGACUUCUGGUAACUUGUGAUCACAAGUGUUGCUCUUCACCCUGGAGCUGCAGCAGGGACUUCUAGUAACUUGUAAUGGCAAGUAUUCCUCUUCACCCUGUAGCGUCAGCUGGGACUUCUGGCAACUUAUGAUGGCAAAUGUUGUUUUUCACCCUGGAGCAGCAGGAGGGACUUCUCAUUACUUGUGGAGGCAAGUUCUUUUCUUCACACUGGACCUGCAGCUGGGACAUCUACUUAUUGGUGAUAGGAAGUGUUCUUCUUCAAACGGGAGGUGCAGCUUGGACUUCUGCUUAGUUGUGAUGGCAAAGGCCUCUCUCCAUCUUGGAGCUGCAGCUGAGACAGCUUCUUGGUUGUGAUGGCAAAGGUGUCUCUACUUCCUAGAACUGCAGCUGAGACCUGUGCUUAGUUGUGAUGGCAAAGGCCUCUCUCCACCCCUAAGCUGCAGUUGAGACGUCUGCGUAGUUGUGAUGGCAAAGGCCUCGUUCUAUCCUGAAAUGGUAAAUGAGACCUCUGCUAGGUUGCGAUAGCAAAGACCUCUGUCCAACCCAGAGCUGCAACUGAGACCUCUGAUUUGUUAUGAUAUCAAAGCCUUCUCUCUCCACCCCUAAGCUACAGCUGUAUCUUCUGCAUUUUUCUUAGGGAAUUUGGUCUUCUUCACCCACUAGCUUCAGGAAAGAUUUCUAGUAACCUUUCAUGGCACGUGGUCCUCUUCACCUUGGAGCAGCAGCAGGGACUUCAGGCAACUUGUAAUGGAAACUGUUGUUCUUCACGCUGAAGCAGCAGGAGGGACUUCUGGUAACUUGUGAUCACAAGUGUUCCUCUUCACCCUGGACCUACAGCUGUGACUUCUGGUACCUUGUGAUGGCAAGUGUUCCUCUUCACCUGGGAGCAGCAGCAGGUACUUCAGGCAACUUGUAAUGGCAACUGUUGUUCUUCACCCUGGAGCAGCAGCAGGGAUUUCUGGGUACUUGUGGUCACAAGUCAUCCUCUUCGCCUUGGAGCAGCAGCAGGGACUUCUGGUAACUUGUGAUCACAAGUGUUCCUCUUCACCCUGGAGCUACAUCAGGGACUUCUGGUAACUUGUGAUGGCAAGUGUUCCUCCUCACCUUGGAGCAGCAGCAGGGACUUCAGGCAAUUUGUAAUGGUAACUGUUGUUCUUCACCCUGGAGCAGCAGCAGGGACUUCUGGUUACUUGUGAUGACAACUGUUGUUCUUCACCCUGGAGUAGCAGCAGGGACUUCUGCUUACAUGUUAUGUUAACUGUUGUUCUUCACCCUGGAGCAGUACCAGGGACUUCUGGUUACUUGUGGUGGCAAGAUCUUUUUGUCACACUGGACAUGCAACUGGGACGUAUAGUUAUGGGGAAUAUGAAGUGUUUUUCUUCAAACGGGAGGUGCAGCUUGGACUUCUGCUUAGUUGUGAUAGCAAAGGCCUACAUCCAUCCUUAAGCUGCAGCUGGGACAUCUAUGUAGUUGUGAUGGAAAACGCCUCUCUCCAUCUUGGAGCUGCAGCUGAGAUCUCUGCUUUGUUUUGAUAGAAAAGGCCUCUCUCCACCCUUAAUCUGCAGCUGCGUCCUCUGCAUUUUUCUUGGGGUAAUUGGUCUUCUUCACCCAGUAGCUACAGGAAAGAUUUCUGGUAACCUUUGAUGGCAAGUGUUGCUCUUCACCCUGGAGCUGCAGCAGGGACAUCUGGUAACUUGUGAUGGCAAGUAUCCCUCUUCAACCUAGAGCGUCAGCAGGGACUUCUGGUUACUUGUCGUCACAAGUGUUCCUCUUCACCCUGGAGCAGUAGCAGGGGCUUCUGGCAAAUUGUGAUGGCAACAGUUGUUCUUCACUCUGGAGCAGCAGGAGGGACUUCUCGAUACUUGUGGAGGCAAGUUCUUUUCUUUACACUGGACCUGCAGCUGUGAUGUCCAGUUAUUGGUGAUAGGAAGGGUUCUUCUUCAAACAGGGGCUGCAGCUUGGACCUCUGCUUUGUUGUGAUGGCAAAGGCCUCUCUCCACCCCUAAGCUGCAGCUGCGUCUUCUGCAUUUUUGUUAGGGAAUUUGGUCGUCUUCACCUAGUAGCUUCCGGUAAGAUUUCUAGUAACAUUUCAUGGCAGGUGGUCUUCUUCACCUUGGAGCAGCAGCAGGGACUUCAGGGAACUUGUAAUGGAAACUGUUGUUCUUCACCCUGGAGGUACAGCAGGGACUUCUGGGUACUUAUGGUCACAAGUGUUCGUCUUUACCCUGGACCUGCAGCAGGAACUUCUGGUAACAUGUGAUGACAAGUAUUCCUCUUCACCCUAGAGCGUCAGCAGGGAAUUCUGGUUACUUGUGGUCACAAGUGUUCCUCUUCACCCUGCAGCAGCAGCAGGGACUUCUGGGUACUUGUGGUCACAAGUGUUCCUCUUCACCCUGCAGCAGCAGCAGGGACUUCUGGGUACUUUUGCUCACAAGUGUUCCUCUUCACCCUGGAGCUACAGCAGGGACUUCUGAUUACUUGUGAUGACAAAUGUUCGUCUUCACCCUGGAGCUGCAGCAGGGACUUCUGGUAACUUUUGAUGGCAACAGUUGUUCUUCACCCUGGAGCAGCAGGAGGGACUUCUCGAUACUUGUGGAGGCAAGUUCUUUUCUUUACACUGGACCUGCAGCUGUGAUGUCCAGUUAUUGGUGAUAGGAAGGGUUCUUCUUCAAACAGGAGCUGCAGCUUGGACCUCUGCUUGGUUGUGAUGGCAAAGGCCUCUCUCCACCCCUAAGCUGCAGCUGCGUCUUCUGCAUUUUUCUUAGGGAAUUUGGUCAUAUUCACCUAGUAGCUUCCGGUAAGAUUUCUAGUAACAUUUCAUGGCAGGUGGUCUUCUUCACCUUGGAGCAGCAGCAGGGACUUCAGGGAACUUGUAAUGGAAACUGUUGUUCUUCACCCUGGAGCAGCAGCAGGGACUUCUGGGUACUUAUGGUCACAAGUGUUCGUCUUUACCCUGGACCUGCAGCAGGAACUUCUGGUAACAUGUGAUGACAAGUAUUCCUCUUCACCCUAGAGCAUCAGCAGGGAAUUCUGGUUACUUGUGGUCACAAGUGUUCCUCUUCACCCUGCAGCAGCAGCAGGGACUUCUGCGUACUUUUGCUCACAAGUGUUCCUCUUCACCCUGGAGCUACAGCAGGGACUUCUGAUUACUUGUGAUGACAAAUGUUCGUCUUCACCCUGGAGCUGCAGCAGGGACUUCUGGUAACUUUUGAUGGCAAGUGUUCCUCUUCACCUGGGAGCUGCAGGAGGGACUUUUGGUUACUUGUGAUCACAUGUGUUCCUCUUCACCCUGGAGCAACAGCAGGGACUUCUGGCAACUUGUGAUGGUAACUGUUGUUCUUAACCAUGGAGUAGCAACAGGGAUUUCUGGGUACUUGUGGUCACAAGUGUUCCUCUUCACCCUGAAGCAGCAGCAGGGACUUCAGGUUACAUGUUAUGUUAACUAUUGUUCUUCACCCUGGAGUAGCACCAGGGAUUUCUGGCAACUUGUGAUGGCAAAUAUUGUUUUUCACCCUGGAGCAGCAGGAGGGACUUUUGGUUACUUGUGGAGGCAAGUUCUUUUCUUCACACUGGACCUGCAGCUGGGACAUUUAGUUAUUGGUGAUAGGAAGUAUUCUUCAAAUGGGAGGUGCAGCUUGGACCUCUGCUUAGUUGUGAUGGCAAAGGCCUCGUUCUAUCCUGGAGCGGUAAAUGAGACCUCUGCUACGUUGUGAUAGCAAAGACCUCUGUCCAACCCAGAGGUGCAACUGCGACCUCUGAUUUGUUGUGCUAUCAAAGGCCUCUCUCGACCCGUAAGCUGCAGCUGUGUCUUCUGCAUUUUUCUUAGGGAAUUUAGUCUUCAUCACCUAGUAGAUUUAGAAAAGAUUUCAGGGCACAUGGUCCUCUUCACCUUGGAACAGCAGCAGGGACUUUAGUCAACUUGUAAUGGAAACUGUUAUUCUUCACCCUAGAGCAGCAGCAGGGACUUCUGGGUACUUGUGAUGACAAGUGUUCCUCAUCACCUUGGAGCUACCACCGGGACUUCUGCUAACUUCUGAUAGCAAGAGUUCCUCUUCACGUUGGAAAAGCUACAAGGACUUCAGGCAACUUGUAAUGGCAACUAUUGUUCGUCACCCUGGAGCAGCAGCAGGGACUUCUGGGUACUUGUGAUUACAGCUGUUCGACUUCACCCUGGAGCUGCAGCAGGGACUUCUGGUUACUUGUGAUGAUAAGUGUUCGUCUUCACCCUCGAGCAGCAGCAGGGACUUCUGGCAACUUGUGAUGGCAACUGUUGUUCUUCACCAUGGAGUAGCAGCAUGGACUUCUGGUUAUAUGUUAUGUUAACUGUUGUUCUUCACCCUGGAGCAGCACCAGGGAUUUCUGGUUACUUGUGUUGGGAAGUUCUUUUUGUCACACUGGACAUGCAGCUGGGACGUCUAGUUAUUGGUGAUAGGAAGUGUUCUUCUUCAAAGGGGUAACUGCAGCUUCGACCUUUACUUGGUUGGGAUGGCAAAGGCCUCUCUCCACCCCUAAGCUGCAGUUGGGACGUCUGCGUAGUUGUGAUGGCAAAGGCCUCGUUUUGUCCUGGAGCAGUAAAUGAGACCUCUGCUAGGUUGUGAUGGCAAAGACCUCAGUCCAACCAAGAGCUGCAACUGAGACCUUUGAUUUGUUGUGAUAUCAAAGGACUCUCUACACCUCUAAGCUCCAGCUGUGUCUUCUGCAUUUUUCUUAGGGAAUUUGGUCUUCUUCAUCCAGUAGCUUCAGGAAAGAUUUCUGGUAACAUUUCAUGGCACGUGGUCCUCUUCACCUUGGAGCAGCAGCAGGGACUUCAGGCAACUUGUAUUGGCAACUGUUGUUCUUCACCCUGGAGCAGCAGCAGGGACUUCUGGGUACUUGUGGUCACAAGUGUUCCUCUUCACCCUGGAGCUACAGCAGGGACUUCUGGUUACUUGUGAUGACAAUUGUUCGUCUUCACCCUGGAGCAGCAGCAGAGACUUUGGGAUACUUGUGGUCACAAGUGUUCUUCUUCACCCUGGAGCAGCAACAGGGACUUCUGGGUACUUCUGUUCACAAAUGUUCCUCUUCACCCUGGAACUAAUGCACGGACUUCUGGUUACUUGUGAUCAAAAGUGUUUGUCGUCACCCUGGACCAGCAGCAGGGACUUCUGGCAACAUGUGAUGGCAACUGUUGUUCUUCACCCUGGAGCAGCAGCAGGGAUUUCUCGUUACUUGUGAUGGCAAGUGUUCCUCUUCACCCUGGAGCUGCAGCAAGGACUUCUGGUUACUUGUGGUCACAAGUGUUCCUCUUCACCCUGGAGCGGCAGCAGGGACUUCAGGCAACAUGUGAUGGCAACAGUUGUUCUUUGCCCUCGAGCAGUAGCAGGAAUUAGGGGUAUUUAUGGUCGCAAUUAUUCCUCUUCACCCUGGAGCUUAAGAAGGGACUUCUGACAACAUGUGAUGGCAAGUGUUCCUCUUCACCGUGGAGCUGCAGCAGGGACUUCUGGCAAGUUGUGAUGGCAAGUGUUCCUCUUCACCCUGGAGCAGCAGGAGGGACUUCUGGCUACUUGUGUUGACUAGUGUUCCUCUUCACCCUGGAGUGGCAGCAGGGACUUCAGGGUAACUUGUGAUGGCAACAGUUGUUCUUUGCCCUUGAGCAGCAGCAGGGAUUCUGGGUACUUGUGGUCACAAGUAUUCCUCGUCACCCUGGAGAUGCAGCAGGGACUUCUGGUUCCUUGUGGUGGCAAGUUCUUUUCGUCAAACUGGACCUACAGGUGGGACGUCCAGUUAUUGGAGAUAGGAAGUGUUCUUCAAACAGGAGCUACAGCUUGGACCUCUGCUUAGUUGUGAUGGGAAUGGCCUCCUUCCACCCAUAAGCUGCAGCUGGCACAUCUAUGUAGUUGUGAUGGCAAAGGCCUCUCUCAACCCUAAGCUUCAGCUCUGUCCUAUGCAUUUUUCUUAGGGCAAUUGGUCUUCUUCACCCAGUAGUUACAGGAAAGAUUUCUGCUAACAUUUGAUGGCAAGUGGUCCUCUUCAACCUGGAGCAGCAGCAGGGAUUUCUGGUUACUUGUGAUGACAAGUGUUUCUCUUCACCCUGUAGCGGCUUCAGGGACUUCUGGUUACUUGGGGUCACAAGUGUUCCUCUUCACCCUGGAGCAGCAGCAGGGACUUCUGGUAAGUUGACCUGGCAAGUGUUCCUCUAUACGCUGGAGCUGCAGCAGGGACUUCGGGUAAGUUGUGCUGGCAAGUGUUCCUCUUCACCCUAGAGCAGCAGCAGGGACUUCUGGUAAAUUGACCUGGCAAUUGUUCCUCUAUACCCUGGAGCUGCAGCAGGGACUUCUGGUAAGUUGUGCUGGCAAGUGUUCCUUUUCAACCUAGGGCAGCAGCAGGGAUUUCUGGUUACUUGUGAUGACAAGUGUUUCUCUUCACCCUGUAGCGGCAGCAGGGACUUCUGGUUACUUGGGGUCACAAGUGUUCCUCUUCACCCUGGAGCAGCAGCAGGGACCUCUGGGUACUUGUGGUCACAACUUUUCCUCUUCACCCUGGAGCUACAGCAGGGCCUUCUGGUAACUUUUGAUGGCAAGUUGUUCCUCUUCACCUUGGAGCUGCAGGAGGGACUUUUGGUUACUUGUGAUCACAAGUGUUCCUCUUCACCCUGGAGGUACAGCAGGGACUUCUGAUUACUUGUGAUGGCAACUGUUGUUCUUCACCAUGGAGUAGCAGCAGGGAUUUCUGGGUACUUGUGGUCACAAGUGUUCCUCUUCACCCUGAAGCAGCAGCAGGGACUUCUGGCAACUUGUGAUGGCAAAUAUUGUUUUUCACCCUGGAGCAGCAGGAGGGACUUCUUGUUACUUGUGGAGGCAAGUUCUUUUCUUCACACUGGACCUGCAGCUGGGACAUUUAGUUAUUGGUGAUAGGAAGUGUUCUUCAAACAGGAGGUGCAGCUUGGACCUCUGCUUAGUUGUGAUGGCAAAGACCUCUCUCCACCCCUAAGCUGGAGUUGGGAAGUCUGCGUAGUUGUGAUGGCAAAGGCCUCGUUCUAUCCUGGAGCGGUAAAUGAGACCUCUGCUAGGUUGUGAUAGCAAAGACCUCUGUCCAACCCAGAGGUGCAACUGCGACCUCUGAUUUGUUGUGCUAUCAAAGGCCUCUCUCCACCCGUAAGCUGCAGAUGUGUCUUCUGCAUUUUUCUUAGGGAAUUUAAUCUUCAUCACCCAGUAGUUUCAGAAAAGAUUUCAGGGCACGUGGUCCUCUUCACCUUGGAGCAGCAGCCGGGACUUCUGGUAACUUGUGAUGGCAAGAGUUCCUCUUCACCUUGGAAAAGCUGCAGGGACUUCAGGCAACUUUUAAUGGCAACUAUUGUUCGUCACCCUGGAGCAGCAGCAGGGACUUCUGGGUACUUGUGAUGACAACUGUUCGUCUUCACCCUGGAGCUGCAGCAGGGAACUCUGGUUACUUGUGAUGACAAGUGUUUGUCUUCACCCUCGAGCAGCAGCAGGGACUUCGGCAAGUUGUGAUGGCAACUGUUGUUCUUCACCCUGGAGCAGCACCAGGGAUUUCUGGUUACUUGUGUUGGCAAGUUCUUUUUCUCACACUGGACAUGCAGCUGGGACGUCUAGUUAUUGGUGAUAGGAAGUGUUCUUCUUCAAAGGGGAGCUGCAGCUUGGACCUUUACUUGGUUGGGAUGGCAAAGGCCUCUCUCCACCCCUAAGCUGCAGUUGGGACGUCUGCGUAGUUGUGAUGGCAAAGGCCUCGUUCUAUCCUGGAGCAGUAAAUGAGACCUCUGCUAGGUUGUGAUAGCAAAGACCUCAGUCCAACCCAGAGCUGCAACUGAGACCUUUGAUUUGUUGUGAUAUCAAAGGCCUCUCUCCACCCCUAAGCUGCAGCUGUGUCUUCUGCAUUUUUCUUAGGGAAUUUGGUCUUCUUCACCCAGUAGCUUCAGGAAAGAUUUCUGGUAACAUUUCAUGGCACGUGGUCCUCUUCCCCCUGGAGCCGCAGCAGGGACUUCUGGUUACUUGUGAUGACAAUUGUUCGUCUUCACCCUGGAGCAGCAGCAGGGACUUCUGGGUACUUCUGUUCACAAGUGUUCCUCUUCACCCUGGAACUACAGCAGGGACUUCUGGUUACUUGUGAUCAAAAGUGUUCGUCGUCAACCUGGACCAACAGCAGGGACUUCUGGCAACAUGUGAUGGCAACUGUUGUUCUUCACCCUGGAGCAGCAGCAGGGAUUUCUCGUUACUUGUGAUGGCAAGUGUUCCUCUUCACCCUGGAGCUGCAGCAGGGACUUUUGGUUACUUGUGGUCAGAAAUGUUCUUCUUCACCCUAGAGCUGCAGCAGGGACUUUUGGUUACUUGUGGUCAGAAGUGUUCCUCUUCACCCUGGAGCGGCAGCAGGGACUUCAGGCAACAUCUGAUGGCAACAGUUGUUCUUCGCCCUCGAGCAGCAGCAGGAAUUAGGGGUACUUAUGUUCGCAAUUAUUCCUCUUCACCCUGGAGCUUAAGAAGGGACUUCUGACAACAUGUGAUGGCAAGUGUUCCUCUUCACCCUGGAGCUGCAACAGGGACUUAUAAUAACUUGUGAUGGGAAGUGUUCCUCUUCACCCUGGAGAUGCAGAAGGGACUUCUGGCAAGUUGUGAUGGCAAGUGUUCCUCUUCACCCUGGAGCGGCAGUAGGGACUUCUGUUAAGUUGUGCUGGCAAGUGUUCCUCUUCAACCUGGAGCAGCAGCAGGGAUUGCUGGUUACUUGUGAUGAAAAGUGUUUCUCUUCACCCUGGAGCAGCAGCAGGGAUUUCUGGCUACUUGUGUUGACUAGUGUUCCUCUUCACCCUGGAGCGGCAGCAGGGACUUCAGGGUAACUUGUGAUGGCAACAGUUGUUCUUCACCCUUGAGCAGCAGCAGGGAUUCUGGGUACUUGUGGUGGCAAAUUCUUUUCGUCACACUGGACCUACAGGUGGGACGUCCAGUUAUUGGAGAUAGGAAGUGUUCCUCAAACGGGAGCUACAGCUUGGACCUCCGCUUAGUUGUGAUGGGAAUGGCCUACUUCCACCCAUAAGCUGCAGCUGGCACUUCUAUGUAGUUGUGAUGGCAAAGGCCUCUCUCAACCCUAAGCUGCAGCUGUGUCCUAUGCAUUUUUUUUAGGGCAAUUGGUCUUCUUCACCCAGUAGUUACAGGAACGAUUUCUGCUAACAUUCCAUGGCAAGUGGUCCUCUUCACCCUGGAGCUCCAGCAGGGACUUCUGCUUACUUGUGAUGACAAGUUUUUCUCUUCACCCAGCAGCGGCAGUAGGGACUUCUGGUUACUUGGGGUCACAAGUGUUCCUCUUCACCCUGGAGCAGCAGCAGGGACUUCUGGUAAGUUGUGCUGGCAAGUAUUCCUCUUCACCCUGGAGCAGCAGCAGGGACUUCUGGUAAGUUGUGUUGGCAAGUGUUCCUUUUCAGCCUAGGGCAGCAGCAGGGAUUUCUGGUUACUUGUGAUGACAAGUGUUUCUCUUCACCCUGUAGCGGCAGCAGGGACUUCUGGUUACUUGGGGUCAUAAGUGUUCCUUGUCACCCCAGAGCAGCAGCAGGCACUUCUGGGUACUUGUGGUCACACGUGGUCUUCUUCACCCUGGAGCUACAGCAAGGAGCUACAACUUUCUGGUAAGUUGUGCUGGCAAGUGUUCCUCUUCACCCUGGAGCUGUAGCAGGGACUUCUGGUAAGUUGUGCUGGCAACUGUUCCUCUUCACCCUGGAGCUGUAGUAGGGACUUCUGGUUACUAGUGGUGGCAAGUUCUUUUUGUCACAAUGGACCUGCAGCUGGGACAUCAAGUUAUUGGUGAUAGGAAGUGUUCUUCUUCAAACGGUUGCUGCAGCUUGGACCUCUGUUUAGUUGUGAUGGCCAAGGGGUCUCUCCACUUCUAAGCUACACUUGGGCCAUCUGCGUAGUUCUGAUGGCAAAGGGCUCAUUCUCUCCUGGAGCGAUAAAUGAGACCUCUACUUUGUUUUGAUAGCAAAGACCUCUCUCCACCCCUAAGCUGCAGCUGCGUCCUCUGCAUUUUUCUUAGGGAAAUUGGUCUUCUUCACCCAGUAGCUACAGGAAAGAUUUCUGGUAACUUUUGAUGGCAAGUGGUCCUGUUCACCCUGUAGCUGCAGCAGGGACUUCUGGUAACUUGUGAUGGCAAGUGGUCCUCUUCACCCUGGAGCUGCUGCAGGGACUUCUGGUAACUUGUGAUGGCAAGUGUUCCUCUUCACCCUGGAGCUGUAGCAGGGACUUCUGGUAACUUGUGAUGGCAAGUGUUCAUCUUCACCCUGGAGCAGCAGCAGGGACUUCUUAUAACUUGUGAUGGCAACUGUUGUUCUUCACCCUGGAGCAGCAUCAAGGACUUCUGUUAACUUGUGAUGGCAAGUGUUACUCUUCACCCUGGAGCAGCAUCAAGGACUUCUGUUAACUUGUGAUGGCAAGUGUUACUCUUCACCCUGGAGCUGCAGCAGGGACUUCUGUUAACUUGUGAUGGCAAGUCUUCCUCUUCACUGUGGAGCAGCAGCAGGGACUUCUGGUUACUUGUGGUGGAAAGUUCUUUUCGUCACACUGGACCUGCAACUGUGACUUACAGUUGUUGGUGAUAGGAAGUGUUAUUCUUCAAAUGGGCGCUGCAGCUUAGACCUCUGCUUAGUUGUGAUGGCAAAGGCCUCCCUCCACCCAUAAGCUGCAGCUGGGACAUCUGUGUAGUUGUGAUUGCAAAGGCCUCUCUCCAUCGUGGAGCUGCAGCUGAGACAGUUUCUUUGUUGUGAUGGCAAAGGCCUCUCUACACCCUAAGCUGCAGCUGCAUCCUCUGCAUUUUUCUUAGGGCAACUGGUCUUCUUCUCCCAGUAGCUGCAGGACAGAUUUCUGGUAACUUUUGAUGGCAAGUGGUCCUCUUCACCCGGGAGCUGCAGCAGGGACUUCUGGUAACUUGUGAUGGCAAAUGUUCAUCUUCACUCUGGAUAAGCAGCAGGGACUUCUUGUAACUUGUGAUGGCAAGUGUUCCUCUUCACCCUGGAACUGCAGAAGGGACUUCUGGUAAGUUGUGCUGGCAAGUAUUCCUCUUCACCCUGGAGCAGCAGCAGGGACUUCUGGUAAGUUAUGCUGGCAAGUGUUCCUCUUCACCCUGGAGCAGCAGCAGGGACUUCUGGUAAGUUGACCUGGCAAGUGUUCCUCUAUACCCUGGAGCUGCAGCAGGGACUUCUGGUAAGUUGUGCUGGCAAGUGUUCCCUUUCACCCUGGAGCAGCAGCAGGGACUUCUGGUUACUUGGCGUCAUAAGUGUUCCUCGUCACCCUAGAACAGCAGCAGGGACUUCUGGGUACUUGUGGUCACACGUGGUCUUCUUCACCCUGGAGCUACAGCAAGGAUUUCUGGUAAGUUGUGCUGACAAGUGUUCCUCUUCACCCUGGAGCAGCAGCAGGGACUUCUGGUUACUUGUGGUGGCAAGUUCUUUUCAUCACACUGGACCUGCCGCUGGGACUUCCAGUUAUUGGUGAUACGAAGUGUUCUUCUUCAAACGGGAGUUGCAGCUUGCACAUCUGCUUAGUUGUGAUGGUAAAGGCCUCUCUCCAUCCCUAAGCUGCAGCUGAGUCCUCUGCAUUUUUCUUAGGGCAAUUGGUCUUCUUCACCCAGUAGCUGCAGGAAAGAUUUCUGGUAACUUUUGAUGGCAAGUGAUCCUCUUCACCCUGCAGCUGCUGCCGGGACUUCUGGUAACUUGUGAUGGCAAGUGUUCAUCUUCACUCUGGAUAAGCAGCAGGGACUUCUUGUAACUUGUGAUGGCAACUGUUGUUCUUCACCCUGGAGCAGCAUCAAGGACUUCUGGUAACUUGUGAUGGCAAGUGUUCCUCUUCACCCUGGAACUGCAGGAGGGACUUCUGGUAACUUUUGAUGGCAAGUGGUCCUGUUCACCCUGUAGCUGCAGCAGGGACUUCUGGUAACUUGUGAUGGCAAGUGGUCCUCUUCACCAAGGAGCUGCAGCAGGGACUUCUGGUAACUUUUGAUGGCAAGUGGUCCUGUUCACCCUGGAGCCGCAGCAGGGACUUCUGUUAACUUGUGUUGGCAAGUGUUCGUCUUCACCCUUGGACAACAGCAGUGACUUCUGGUUACUUGUGAUGACAAGUGUUCCUCUUCACCCUGGAGCAGCAGCAGGGACUUCUGGUUACUUGUGUUAGCAAGUUCUUUUCAUCACACUGGACCUUGCCCUGGGACUUCCAGUUAUUGGUGAUAGGAAGUGUUCCUCUUCAAACGGGAGUUGCAGCUUGCACAUCUGCUUAGUUGUGAUGGCAAAGGCCUCUCUGCAUCCCUAAGCUGCAGCUGCGUCCUCUGCAUUUUUCUUAGGGCAAUUGGUCUUCUUCAACCAGUAGCUGCAGGAAAGAUUUCUGCUAACUUGUGAUGGCAAGUGUUCCUCUUCAUUGUGGAGCAGAAGCAGGGACUUCUGGUAACUUGUGAUGGCAAGUGUUCAUCUUCACCCUAGAGCAGCAGCAGGGACUUCUUGUAACUUGUGAUGGCAACUGCUGUUCUUCACCCUGGAGCAGCAUCAAGGACUUCUGGUAACUUGUGAUGGCAAGUGUUGCUCUUCACCCUGGAGCUGCAGCAGGGACUUCUGGUUACUUGUGGUGGCCAGUUUUCCGCUUCACUGUGGAGCAGCAGCAGGGACUUUUGGUAACUUGUGAUGGCAAUUUCUUUUCGUCACACUGGACCUGCAGCUGGGAUUUCCCGUUAUUUGUUAUGGCAAGUUUUCUUCUUCCAACGGGAGCUGCAGCUUAGAACUCUGCUAGGUUGUGAUGGCAAAGGCCUCUCUCCAUCCUGGAUCUGCAGCUGGUACCUCUGCUUGGUUGUGAUGGCAAAGGCCUCUCUGUAUCCUGGAGCUGUAACUGAGACCUCUACAUGGGUUUGAUGGCAAAGGCCUCUCUCUACCCUGGAGCUUCAGCUGCGUUCUUUCCAUUUUUGUGAUGGCAAUUGGUCUUCACCCAGUAGCUGCAGCUGGGCCUUCUGGUUACUUGUGAUGGCAAGUCUUCCUCUUCUCCCUGGAGCUGCAGCAGGUACUUCUAGUAACUUGUAAUGGCAAUUGUUCUUCUUCACCCUGGAGUAGCAGCAGGGACUUCUGGUUUCUUGUGAUGAUGGGAAGUGUUCUUCAAAUGCAAACUGCAGCUGGGACCUCUGCUUGGUUGUGAUGACAAAGGCCUCUCUCCACCCCAGAGCUGCAGCUGGGACCUCUGCUUCAUUUUGAUGGCAAGUUCUCCUCUUCCCCCUGGAGCAGCAGCAGGGACUUCUGGCUACUUGUGAUGGCAAGUUCUUUUCUUCACCCUGGACCCGCAGCUGGGAAUUCUGGUGACUUGUGAUGCAAAGUGUUUUUCUUCUAACUGGAGCUGCAACUGGGACCUCUGGUUUGUUGUGAUGCCAAAGCCCUCUCUCCGUCCCAUGGCUGCAGCUGGGACCACUACUUGCUUGUGAUGGCAAGUGCUCCUCUUCACCCUGGAGCUUGUUACAGGGAAUUCUAGUUACUUGUGAUGGCAAGUGCUCCUCUUCACCCUGGAGCAGCAUCAGGGACUUCUGGUAACUUGUGGUGGCAACUGUUGUUCUUCACCCUGGAGCAGCAGCAGGGACUUCUGAUUAAUUGUGAUGACAAGUGCUCUUCCUCACCCUGGACCCACAGCUGGGACUUCUGGUUACUUGUGAUGGGAAAGUGGUCUUCUUCAAACUGGAACUGCAGCCGAUACCUCUGCUUUGUUGUAAUGGGAAAGGCCUCUAUGCACCCCUGAGAUGCAGCUGGGACUAUUGCUUUUUUUGUUAUAGCAAGGUCUCUUCACCUAGUAGCUGCAGGGGGGACUUCCUCUUCCUUGUCAUCAUGCUGGCAGGUGCUCCUCUUCACCCUGGAGCAGUAGCAGGGAAUGUGUUUACUUGUGAUAACAAGUGAUCGUCUUCACUCUGGAGCUCCAGGUGUUACCACCAGUUUUUUGUGAUGGCAUUGGCCUCUCUCCCCCUUUGUGUGAAACUGGUAAUGUCUACCGUGCCCACACAGAGCUGCCCCUAAUCACCUUUUUAGCAGUUGUCUAAUACUUGGUUUCUUGGCAGUGAAAACUUUAAGAAAUGUGACAACUAUUCCUGCAGCUAUCACUGUGCCUCCCGUCCUCCAAGAUCCAUAGUAAGUGCCCUUCCCUUUGCCUUCUGAGCCAGUGACCCAAACUUCUCCUCACCUCAAACAUUUUUUUCAGCUGGACAAACUUUUUCUUUGUAUGGCACUUCAGAAUUUGAUUAUUUGAUAUUUUCAAGUUUUUUGGAAAGGCAAGUUGGUAGAGUUCCACUGGAAUGUUCUCUCUGUUCCACCAUCUUGGGGUUUUUUAGGGGGUGCAAGAACUUCCACUCCUGAAACAAAUUAAAACAGUUCCCCAAAAGAGGAGCACUAGGGAAGAUUAGGAGGAAGCAGUGAUCUACUUCCACAAAUUCACCUGAGUAUUCUUUAUCAAUUACACUUGAAGAAUAUGUCUGAGCUGGCCAGCCAUGAUCAUAAUUUAGUAGUGUUUCUUUCAAGAAAUUGUUAAUAUGAUUGAACACUGGAUGCAAUAGCUAGGAAUGCUGGGUUCUAUUCUUGAGUCUUGCUCUUAGCUUUCUGUCAAAGUUUUCCGAGAUGUAAAGGCUUCACUUUAGGGAAAAUGGAAACCCAGAACAACUGGAUUGAAUCUCUGGGGAGUUCAUAGACUGGAAAACGAAAGAGAACUUGCCCAAAUCCAUGAGGCAUUCUCAAGUAAUUUAGAAUUCUAAUGGCACUGGCAGUGUUGAGCAGCAGCAGCAAUGUCCCUUUGUGACCAUGGGCCAUGCUUUCUCUGUAGAUUUGACU
ensembl:lncRNA